rnacentral:rRNA from 1 species
GGCUUAGGAUGAACGCUGGCGGCGUGCCUAACACAUGCAAGUCGAGCGAGGCAUUGCGGAGAUUCAAUCGAUGAUCUGCAUUGUCUUAGCGGCGGAUGGGUGAGUAACACGUGGGUAACCUGCCCUGCACUGGGGAAUAACAGUUGGGAACGACUGUUAAUACCGCAUAUGCGCACGGGACCGCAUGGUCCUGGGCGGAAAGAUUUAUCGGUGCAGGAUGGGCCCGCGUCGGAUUAACUGGUUGGUGAGGUAAUGGCCCACCAAGGUGAUGAUCCGUAGCCGACCUGAGAGGGUGACCGGCCACAUUGGGACUGAGACACGGCCCAAACUCCUACGGGAGGCAGCAGUGGGGGAUAUUGCACAAUGGGCGCCAAGCCUGACGCAGCGACGCCGCGUGAAGGAAGACGUAUUUCGGUAUGUAAACUUCUAUCAGCGGGGAAGAAGAUGACGGUACCCGACUAAGAAGCCCCGGCUAAUUACGUGCCAGCCGCCGC